GGGGAAAGGGGCAGCCUAUGGCCAGUGCAAGCCAAAUGAAUGUGUGGAGGUUGAAGCACCAACAAAUGGUACAAUGAUUGUAAGUGGUUUUACAUUUGGAAAUAACGUAACAUUCCAAUGUGAGGAAGGCUUUAAAAUAAUUGGUUCAGAUAUGAUUAAAUGUAUGUCAACCGGAAAUUGGUCCGCAAGCGUUCCGACUUGCAGUGAAGACGAUAACAAGGACAAAGUUUCAAGAAGUAACAGAGAAAGUGGGAGUAUCAUACAUGUAUUAAUGGCAAUCACUAUGAUACCCAUGUUGCUGUCGAUUUAACUUCAUGAAACAACAUGUUAAAUAAUACGAAUAGUUAGAAGAUUUUCCAUAAUUUAACGUUUAUUCAGGCAUAAAUAGGGCAGUGAUAAACUAAUAUUCCAAUUGUGUUUGGUCUUGACGAAACUUCUCAAUGGAUUGAGAAAGAGUAAAAGGCUUUUUUAGCGUUGGUUACACGUUACCUUACAAUCGACCUGAGGCCAUUUUAAGCCUGUCAACUGUCCAAAAUUCUCUUGGCGAUAUGAGGAGCUACCGCCCCCUUCAAACCCUCAACACAGAAGGGGGCACAUCCCCCUUCUGACGACCCAAUGAUGUACCUUUUCUGAAAGGGGGCGGCGCCUAAAAAGUGAUCACUUUUUUUAUCAACAUUUAUCAAACGAAAAAAAGUGUUUGUGUCCUAAAUAAGGCAUUAUUUUACUGUUGGAGGCCUCAAAACGGGAGGAGGGGUGUUGGGCGAAAAGCCGUCAAAGCACGUCUAUAUAAGUAAUAUCAUCUAUCACACAGUUACCCAGAUGUGUAUUUUAUUUGAUUUUACUGGACUGCUCAUCUUUGAUCUAAUCAAAGCUGAUAUAUGACUAUGUAAAAUACUUUCUGUGCUAGGUUUUAUCAUUAAUGUCUGAAAUGUGGCGAUUAUUUUAAUGUAGAGUUACUAAUCUGAUCUUACCUUUUAGAUGUAGACCGUAUAUUGUGAUACUGGUAACAUGUUUGUAAGAACAUACAUAUGAGCCGCGCCAUGACAAAAUCAACAUAAUGGGUUUGCGACCAGCAUGGAUCCAGACCAGCCUGCGC